rnacentral:rRNA from 1 species
UGAUAACAUAAGGGAAAAUAAUGAUAUUACCUUAUUAUUAGUGUCGUCCAAAACUGGUGCCAGAAGACUCGGUAAGGCCAGAGACACAAACGUUAAUCGUCUUAAUCAGGCGUAAAGGGUUUGUAGGCGGCUUUAAAAUUUACUUAUAAUAAAAAUAAAUAAGUAAAAAAUAAAAGCUAGAAUCAAAUAGAGGAUAUAUGAAAGAAUGCUUAGAGUAGGUCUGAUAUCCUUAGAUACUAAGUAGAAUAUUAAAGGCGAAAGCUUUUUUCCAUUAAUGAUUGACGCUCAGAAACGAAGGUGAGGAUAGGAAAUAGGAUUAGAUACCCAGAUACCCCUCUCUGUCAACGAUGAAUGGUAGUUAUUAGUAAAAAUUUUAUUAAUGGCAAUGUUAACACGAUAACCAUUCCGCCUUGUGAGUACAAUUGCAAAAUUGAAAACAAAAAAAUUAGUCGGUUUCGGAGCAAACGAAGUGAAGCAUGUUAUUUAA